rnacentral:rRNA from 1 species
UACGAAGGGGGCUAGCGUUGCUCGGAAUGACUGGGCGUAAAGGGCGCGUAGGCGGAUGGCACAGUCAGAUGUGAAAUUCCUGGGCUUAACCUGGGGGCUGCAUUUGAUACGUGUGAUCUAGAGUGAGGAAGAGGGUUGUGGAAUUCCCAGUGUAGAGGUGAAAUUCGUAGAUAUUUGGGAAGAACACCGGUGGCGAAGGCGGCUCACUGGCUCGUAUCUGACGCUCAGGCGCGAUAGCGUGGGGAUCAAACAGG